GCCAGCAGCCAUAUCACUCUGCAACUCACAACUGGCAACCCACUGAAGCUAAGCAGGUGUGAGCCUGGUCAGUACCUGGAUGGGAGACCUCCUGGGAAAAUCUAAGGUUGCUGCUGGAA
ensembl:rRNA 5S_rRNA 5S ribosomal RNA